rnacentral:rRNA from 1 species
UACGUAGGGGGCUAGCGUUGUCCGGAAUCAUUGGGCGUAAAGAGCGUGUAGGCGGCCCGGUAAGUCCGCUGUGAAAGUCGGGGGCUCAACCCUCGAAUGCCGGUGGAUACUGUCGGGCUAGAGUGCGGGAGAGGCGAGUGGAAUUCCUGGUGUAGCGGUGAAAUGCGCAGAUAUCAGGAGGAACACCAAUUGCGAAGGCAGCUCGCUGGAACGUAACUGACGCUGAGACGCGAAAGCGUGGGGAGCAAACAGG